GGGAGUGCAGGAUCCUGGGCUGUGUCCCCCGGCGCCCUGGGACCCAGGGCCUGUGCUGCUGGAAUUGUGCUCCCGGGGCUGUGGCUCCC
rnacentral:pre_miRNA from 1 species